UAGAUUGAAGCCCGCUGGCUAGGGUAUUUAGUUGUUAACUAGAAUUUUACGGAAUCGAGGUCCGUCGGUCUA
rnacentral:tRNA from 1 species